AACUCUUCUACACGGGCCCAAGCAGAGCAGGCAGUACAUACGGCUAGUUGUCCUGUCAGAGGAAGAGAAAACAUCUGAUUUUACAGAGUGCCACAAUAACCCAGGAACUGUCAAUCACAGCGGUGUCAGAGGCACUCAAAACAGGGUUAUUGCUGGCUACUAUUGGUCCACAAUAAUCAACGACGUGAAAGAAUGGGUGAGAUCUUGUCACUGCUGCCAGCUGAAUGACCCCAUCAAACUGUUGUGCCAGUCUUGCAUUCCAUUAAGGUAAAAGAAGCUUGGGAGGUGCUUGGUUUAGAUUGAUUGGACCACUACCAGAAACAGAACGCAGCAACAAAUGCAGCAGCCAGCCAUUGUCAGAGACCUACAUUCAGCAUGGGACUGAGUACCACGUCACAGAGACUUAUUCCAUGGGGAGGUGACAGAGCCUGUAUUUUUGCGGAUGCACAGGGACAAUCAACAAAAUGUCAUCAGAAAGGUCCUGAGGGGUCCAAGGCGAAGGAUGACUUUUGUUUGUAUUUCAGUAUCAAGAAGACAUGGAAACAUUUUUUGGCAUACUGUAUUGAUAAACACGGCCUAAAGGUCAAUGCCAUGUUCCUCAAUCAGCCAUUUAAGUAGAUGAAUAGAUGAGGGAGGG